UCGUCGGGUAGAUACUGUGUUAAGGUGGCUUAGAGAGGUCGUGGUGUAUUCACAUCAGUUCUUUUCAGACAUACAACUUGUUAUCCAGGGAAUUCUGUGCCGAAUAGGGACUUCUGUGUGAUACAAAUAAGAACACAAUACAACCUAGGUUUUCAAUCAUAGAGUCACUGACGAGCGUAGAAGCAGUGACGUGCUGUGUAAAGCAGCAAGACCACUUAGAACAAGCACGGUCGACAGCGCCCACCUCUACACAGCGUGAGGUGUAUAUGUGCCCAGUAGACAACCCUUCCUCCUGCCAAGAUGGCUCGCCUGUUCUUCCUACUGGUGGCACUAAGCCUAGCUGCUUUUGCUUUGGCACGGGAAGAAAGAUUGAACGAAGUGAAUCGUCAUCUUCUGGAAUUAUUGAAGCGCUUAGAAGGCCGUCAAAUCGAGAAACCUGUGGAAAAAAUAUCAGCAUCCAACGGUGAGAGGGAGGUAAACCUUACAGGGAGUCGUGACGUAAUUGUCAAGCAGAGUUCCGCUCUCCCGGGUUGGCGGCUAUGGCUAGUUGCUGAUAAAGCAGUAGAUGGACGGUACAGUGACUCCAAUUUCCUCGGUGAAGAUGGGAAAGAGUACGGUGGAAGUUGCACUAUAACAAAUUCCCAAAAAAAUCCUUACUGGCGUGCUCACUUCAGAGAAGAAAUCUGCAUCAGCAAAGUCAGCAUUUUGAACCGUGGCGACGGCUUCAGCGAGAGAAUGACAGAUGCAGUGGUCCAAUUUGGCUACAGUCCAUAUCGCAAAUUGAAUGCAAACCCUACCUGUGGAUCACCAGUGACCGCUGAACAAGCUGCAGUGCCUGGAGGGACAAUUGAAGUUGAAUGCAGUGAACCGAUGGGAGGGAGGUUUCUCACGAUCGGCAUCCCAGCCGACAAUGCUACUUUACAGUUGUGUGAAAUUCGAGUUUGGGCGAUACCAAUGGACCAGUGUCCUGACGAGAUAAAGGCUGAGACGGAAUUAGACGUCGAACGCACUUCAGUGGGGCAGUCGUCCAUUGUCGGAAAUGAAUAUUCUUCACGUGCUGCUCUCAAAGUUAGAGAUGGCCAAUACAAUAAUAGCAAUCUUCUCGGUGAAGGAGGAGAAAUGUAUGGUGGAAGCUGCACGAUAACAAAAGCUCAGAAGGAUCCCUAUUGGGGUAUGAUGUCUUUCAAGGAAUACUGCUUCAGCAAGGUCUGGAUUUUAAAUCGUGGAGACGGAUUCAGUGAGAGAUUGACAGGUGCAGUGGUCAGGAUUGGCUCAGAAAAGUCCACUGACUUGAAUAAUAACACCGCCUGUGGAUCGCCAGUGACCGCUGAACAAGCUGCAGUACCAGGAGGAACGAUUGAAGUUGAGUGUAGCCACCCAAUCAAGGGCUUUCUUACAAUCAUUGGCAUUCCUGCUGAUAACGCUACUUUGCAGCUUUGUGAGGUUCGAGCUUGGGUGGUUCCUAUGGCACAGUGCUCUCCAGAUUUUGAGGAGUGUAGCAGUGAUCCGUGUCAGAAUGGUGCUACAUGUGUGGAUGGAAUCAAUAAAUUUUCCUGCACAUGUGCUGCUGGUUUCACUGGACCUCUCUGCGAAUCUGAUAUUGACGAGUGUAGCAGUGAUCCUUGUCAGAAUGGGGCUACAUGUGUGGAUGGUAUCAAUGAAUUUUCCUGCUCUUGUGCUGCUGGUUUCCUUGGAACUCUCUGUGCAGAUGAUGUCGACGAAUGCGGUAGUGAUCCUUGCCUGAACGGUGCUACUUGCGUCGAUGGUGUUAAUGAAGUUUCGUGUACCUGUGCUGCAGGAUAUUUAGGAGUUGUUUGCGAGAUUGAUAUCAAUGAGUGUGACAGCAGUCCUUGUCAGAAUGGUGUCUGUAUUGAAGGUGUCGAUAGCUUUAGUUGUGAAUGUUUUCCUGGAUACGAGGGUGUCACUGCGAAACAAAUACCAACGAGUGUGUCAGUAAUCCAUGCCAGAAUGGUGCCACCUGCGUUGAUGGCAUCAACAAAGUCUCGUGCAAGUGCCUUGAAGGCUUCACUAGAUCUGUCUGCGAAACUGCUGUUAGAAAGAUGGAUGGAUGCACCACAAAUCCAUGCAAGAAUGGCAUUUGUAUUGCCUACGGUGUCGAUGGCGUCAAGUGCGCAUGCGCCCCGGGUUACCAAGGCACAAUCUGUGAGAUCAAUAUUGACGAGUGUUCCAGCAAUCCAUGCCAGAAUGAUGCCAAGUGUGUGGACGGUAUUAACAAGGUGUCGUGCAUCUGCGCGUCGGGCUUUUCUGGAGAGCUUUGCCAAAUUGAACAAGCCGAUGGACUGCCUGAUAAUUUACCUCAGCUGCCCCAAGGUUUCUCUCUGGCAGGCACUAAAGUUGAAACACAAACAUCCUACAUGCAAGUGAACCUUAUCACCGAGUACUGCAUCAAGAAAGUCAUCGUUCAUAAGAGUGGGGAUUGCACCAGCAACCGUCUGACUGGUGCUGUAGUCCGUGGUGGGACCAGCUCUACCAGUCUGAACAACAGCGUAUGCGGCACUCCCCUGACCGCCCAAC
rnacentral:misc_RNA from 1 species